rnacentral:lncRNA from 1 species
GUCUGAGGCCUUUUAUAGUUGUAAGAUACAUUUUCGAAAGUGUCCCAAGUUACUUUAUGUCAUAACUUUUAUCGUAUUUUACUGGAUUGUUAACUAACGUAUGAUACAAAUUUCAAAUUAGCAUUUCAUUUCCUGAUAAAUAGGCAAUAUUCGAUCAUGACUACACGAACUCUCCUUAUGGUAGCGUUAACACAAAUAUAUACUAAAAGCAGCA